rnacentral:tRNA from 2 species
CGGGGCGUAGCGCAGUCUGGUAGCGCACCUCGUUCGGGACGAGGGGGUCGGAGGUUCAAAUCCUCUCGCCCCGACCA